rnacentral:lncRNA from 1 species
CUGAAAGUAUGACAGGAGUUUAAAACUCUUCCCACAUACUGCCGCAUACAGUACUCACCACAAGCAGUCCCCUAAACUGUCUGGAUGUAGUUACAGUUCAGUUCUGAGCCAGGAAUGGGGUAGGACAGUGCUGAGCCCGGGCAGGCUGCUGUGCUCUCAGCACGCUUUGCUGGAUGGAUGAGACCUGGCAUUCCCAAUUAGGGCACUUGCACAAAGCGCCAGCCAGGCCGUGGCAUUGACGUGCAGCCCAGCUCCGCAGCACAGGCUCCCGCUGGCAGCUCCAAGGCAAGUGCACAUGGGGAUUUCUGUACAGCAGCAUAUGGAAAGAAUGUGGAAGGACGACUGGUUUCUCCCAGGCUUGUGAGGAGCUGCCAUCAGAAAGCAACAUUUCAAAAUGGAUGGAGUGAGUAGCAGCGUCUCAGCCACAGCAAGCAAUGUCCCAGCAAGGCAGGGAGAUGCCUGCCCACAGAGCCAGCAGCACAUCUUUUGCACCUGGCACUUCAGGCAAGCAGCAGCUGAAAGAGAACUCUGUAACAUGUCCAUAAUAGACUGCUGCUCUGCCUUCAGGAGCAAGUGGCCAUUUCAAUGGCUGCAGAUGUUUGUGCAAGAAUGGACAUUGCUCGGUACCAUUCUCUGGUAAUGCCGGAGUCCUUGUAGUCAACAGCUUGAGCUCUUUAAUUCAUGAUACAGUCUUUUUGCUAAAAGGUCGCAAGGAAACACUGAUAGCUUCUGCUUCAGAUGUUCUCUGCAGAUUGUGUAAGGGAUGUGCUGGUUUAGAAGGUCACAUUGGUGUCUUAUAUUUACUUACAGUAAAGGCCUUCAUUGUAUUUUUCUGAUUCUGUCUGCCUGAAUGGAUAUGCAUGUUAGCUGUGUAGCUUGCUGAAUUCUGAACGCAGAAAAAAAACCCCAAGUAUGUUAUAACUGGUUCUCAUUAAACUGCUAAACGGAAUACUAAAAGGUAGCUUAAAAUCAGGUGCAUUUAAUAAAGUUAUAUUUGAAUUGGCA